AUGAACGCUGGCGGCGUGCUUAACCCAUGCACUUCGAGCGAGAAGUUUUGUAAAGAUUCUUCGGAUGAAAUUUAAAAUGGAAAGCGGCGGACGGGUGAGUAACGCGUAUGCAUCCUGCCCCAUACUAAGGGAUAGCAUUUGGUAACGAAUAUUAAUUCCUUAUGAAACUUAACUAGUGCAUGCUAGGUAGGUCAAAGAUUUAUCGGUAUGGGAUGGGCCUGGGUCUUAUUAGCUAGUUGGUGAGGUAACUGCUCACUAAGGCGACGAUCAGUAGCCGAACUGAGAGGGUGAAAGGGCAAAUAGAAACUGAGACACGGUCCAAACUCGUACGGGAGGGAGCAGUGGGGAAUAUAGCACAAAGGGGGAAACCCUGAUGAAGCAACGGAGCGUGAACGAUGAAGGCCUUUGGGUCGAAAAGUACUGUUCUAGGUGAUGAAAAAUGACAGUAACCUAGGAGAAAGCCCCGGCUAACUCCGUG
rnacentral:rRNA from 1 species